GGGUUGUAUUUAUUAGAUAAAGAACCAAUAUUUUUGGUGACUCAUAAUAACUUUACGGAUCACAUUAUGUGACAUAUCAUUCAAGUUUCUGACCUAUCAGCUUUAGACGGUAGGGUAUUGGCCUACCGUGGCUAUGACGGGUAACGGGGAAUUAGGGUUCGAUUCCGGAGAGGGAGCCUGAGAAACGGCUACCACAUCUAAGGAAGGCAGCAGGCGCGCAAAUUACCCAAUCCUAAUACAGGGAGGUAGUGACAAGAAAUAACAAUACAGGACCUUACGGUUUUGUAAUUGGAAUGAGUUAAGUAUAAACCCCUUAACAAGUAUCAAUUGGAGGGCAAGUCUGGUGCCAGCAGCCGCGGUAAUUCCAGCUCCAAUAGCGUAUAUUAAAGUUGUUGCAGUUAAAAAGCUCGUAGUUAAUUUUCUGUUAAUUUUUAUAUACAAUACUACGGUAUUUAUAUAAUAUUAACAUAAUUCAUAUUACUUUUUAGUAUAUGAAACUUUACUUUGAGAAAAUUAGAGUGCUUAAAGCAGGCUAUUGCCUUGAAUACUCCAGCAUGGAAUAAUAUUAAGGAUUUUUAUUCUUCUUAUUGGUUCUAGAAUAAAAAUAAUGAUUAAUAGGGACAGUUGGGGGCAUUUGUAUUUAACAGUCAGAGGUGAAAUUCUUAGAUUUGUUAAAGACAAACUACUGCGAAAGCAUUUGCCAAGGAUGUUUUCAUUAAUCAAGAACGAAAGUUAGGGGAUCGAAGACGAUCAGAUACCGUCGUAGUCUUAACCAUAAACUAUGCCAACUAGAGAUUGGAGGUUGUUCCUUACUCUCUUA
rnacentral:rRNA from 1 species